GUAUUUUGAAAUUUAAAAUAACAUUAAAGGAGAAAUGAAAUUAUUUUGUUUGAGAAAGAAUUAAAAGGUUAAAACAUCUUGAUCUAAAUAAUUUUCUAAUGGGAGAUUUGGUACAUCCCCAGAAGUUGUCUUUGGUUCAGAGAACAGUCUUCAGACCUAGAAAGGACUUGAGGAGUCCCAGAGAGGAGCCGCAUGGUGUGAACCAUUCGAUUCUCACAACAGAAUGGAUAAGAACAAUUUUAACCAUGAAACCUUGCAGAUGUUCAUAUUUUGAAUAGGGUAUGUAUUGGGUGGAGGAGCAUUAUGUAUGGAACCUCUCACAAAAUUGGUGAUUAUUUUAUUAUUAUACUCAAUUUUCACCCUCAAUUGAGUGUUUUGAUUAUGUAAGUUAGAUCGUAAGUAGACUGUUCUCUUAAAGACAUUUUAGUGUUUUUUUUUUUUUCAUAGCUUCUACUUUCAAGAAUGAAAAAGGUAUCCCAGCAGUUUGGGAGGCUGAGGCA
rnacentral:lncRNA from 1 species